rnacentral:tRNA from 2 species
GCGCCAAUAGCUCAGCUGGAUAGAGCGUCCGCCUCCUAAGCGGAAGGUCGGGGGUUCAAAUCCCUUUUGGCGCG